UGACUUUGGAUAUUCAGCAGUCAAGUCUUGCAUAUUAACACAUUUUUUUUUCUUUCCACAUGUCUCUUCCUGACUGACCCUAUAAGAGUUCAGAGAUGAGGGUUAAUGGACUGACUGGUGAUGGAAAAGAUAGCUCAGAGAUAUUUCAAGCAGGCUGCAAGAAUCUCCCAGUUUCGUCCAUCACAAAUCCAUCGUUGAUCCUGGAUGCAGGCUUCAGCUGGCAAAGGAAAGGAAAUACAGAGUUCAAAGCAAGGAUAAAGUUGAAGACACAGUCUAUUUACAAAAUAUGAAAUUAACCUGGAGUUAUAUAAACAUGCCAAAAGAGGAAAGAAAUUUACACUGGAGCUGUAGUGAGACAUUCAGGUUUGGAAGCAGAAACAGAAUUAAUGCAGAGAGAAGAUGCCAUUGAUAGAGCAGUCCACAUCAGAAAAUCUCUGCUCUUGACAGCAGGAAAAGUUCUCUAGGUAAAGACACUUAUCCUGUGUGAUCCAUUUUCUUUCUGUUUUCCAUGUGUCCUGGUUCUGUAGUUUUGGGUUCCUAUGAGACCCGGUCCCAUUUUGGCACUUACUGUUUUCCUCCUGUUCACACAGAUUCUGAUGUGAAAUUGUACAUUACUUGGAGUAAUUUAAUGACGAUUCUUCCUUGCCACUAAAAGACCAUAACUACAG
rnacentral:lncRNA from 1 species